rnacentral:rRNA from 1 species
AAUAGAUACCCCGGUAGUCCACGCCGUAAACGACGUCGACUUGGAGGUUGUUCCCUUGAGGAGUGGCUUCCGGAGCUAACGCGUUAAGUCGACCGCCUGGGGAGUACGGCCGCGAGGUUAAAACUCAAAUGAAUUGACGGGGGGCCCGCACAAGCGGUGGAGCAUGUGGUUUAAUUCGAUGCAACGCGAAGAACCUUACCUACUCUUGACAUCCAGAGAACUUAGCAGAGAUGCUUUGGUGCCUUCGGGAACUCUGAGACAGGUGCUGCAUGGCUGUCGUCAGCUCGUGUUGUGAAAUGUUGGGUUAAGUCCCGCAACGAGCGCAACCCUUAUCCUUUGUUGCCAGCGGUUCGGCCGGGAACUCAAAGGAGACUGCCAGUGAUAAACUGGAGGAAGUGGGGAUGACGUCAAGUCAUCAUGGCCCUUACGAGUAGGGCUACACACGUGCUACAAUGGCGUAUACAAAGAGAAGCGACCUCGCGAGAGCAAGCGGACCUCAUAAAGUACGUCGUAGUCCGGAUUGGAGUCUGCAACUCGACU